UUUGUACUCCCUCCGUCCGAAAUUACUUGUCGUAGAAAUGGUUAGAAAUUAGAUGUAUCUAGCACUAAAUUAUAUCUAGAUACAUUCAUUUCUCCGACAAGUAUUUCCGGACGAAGGGAGUAUGUG
rfam:Triticum aestivum genome assembly, contig: Triticum_aestivum_CS42_TGACv1_scaffold_095400_2AL